ACAACAACUAAACAUUUUCGGCUCGGUUUACCCCGCAUCUUGUUGCGAUUCUUUUGCUUGUGGCUUAGCUCUCGGGCCUGGCGAGGUCCCAGAAUUUGAUCGGU